UCAGUGAGCUGCGAUCGGCACUGAUGACACACAGAGUUGCACCUACAGGAGGGAGAGACAUUUUAACGGUGACAUGGAAAUCAAAGUGACAGCAAGAUAAAAUCAUCACCUAAAAAACUAACUUGUGCUUCAGCGUUUCUAAAGGUGAACUUCUUGAGGAACCCAGGAGUCACAAAGGCGUCGGCAAAACACAGGAGUAGGCCACUGAACAGCAACCCUGUGGUACUGAUGUUGACAGAGUGAGGUCUGGAGCUCACAAAACAAACCGUCACCUGCAGAGAGCAAGAGGAGUGUGACUUUAAAUACUACGGGCGUACCACAAACAAAGAGGCUGUGAGUUUGUGUCCAUUUGCUUAAACCAUAGAACAAUAUAGUCGCCUGUGUGUCUGUGUGUACAUAUAUAUAUAUGUAUCUGUAUGUGCACGUGUACCUCAGGUCCCAGGUUGAGAUAACAGUCCACAGACAGCACGGGGUGUGUGUAGUUCUUGGUGCUGAGUGGAAAUAGCUUCUGGCUGGUGUGUUGGAGAUAUUUUUCCAGAAGGAGCUGAGCCGGUGUAGCCAAGAAAAGGUGCUUGCUGUCUGGGGCGCAGAUGUACUGAGAGGGCCCCACUGAUGUUGGAACAUCUGUCAUCUGGAGAAAUGUAACAUUUUUGUUUAAUAACAUGGUCCUAUGCCAAAAUGAAUGUCUGUUACAUUCAGGACCUUGCCAAAUGAGUUCAUACAGUGCUAAAUGGCAGCAGGUAAAUCUCUAUAAUUGCAGUUUUAAGAUCUGUUUGUGGCAAUAUGUGUUGCUGCACCAGUAACAAUACGAUUUAUGUCAACCAUCUGCCAGAACUGAAGAAGGGAGAAACCUUAGAGCAGGCUACAGCAACUUGGAGUACAAUGGAAAAAUCAAGAAAGCAUCCAGGCAAAGUUUCCGAUAUGCCAUUUCUCUAACGGAAAUCCAACUUUCAGAAGAUGGAUUACAGUGUAAAGGAAGAAUAGACAGCAAGGCGUAUGUCAUAAGCACGCGUAAGGAGUGUUUGUGUAAUUACUGUAACUGUCAGAAGGGGGAGACAGAAGGUCUGCACAGCAGUAAAAAGCUUCAAUUAAACAUCUAUAUUAUACUGUGUUCUUAUUUAAAUUUAGAUUAUCAUUUGACCUUAUGUAGCUGCUGACACUGUGUUAUAUGAUGUGCAACUCACUAUUAAGUAAAGUAAUAACUAUUAGGCAUUCAGAAAAUGUGUUUUAAUGUGACAAAAGAGUCAUAUUUAUACUUCUUUGGCACCUACCUUGGUCUUGAUAAUAAAUGUUCUGUAUCCUCCAAUGGCGAUCUGCUUCUUCAUGACACUGAAACUGUUGAAUCUGCAGACAAGCAGCCCGGCACUGUGUAGCCUCAGGGUGAAGUCCACAUCAUGGCAGGUGAAGCGGUUCUGGUCGUACUGGACGUUUUGACUCCGGUCGACAUUGAGGAGGAGGAAGUCAUGAAGUGACAAACGACAUACCCAAUCAGAUGUGAGAGGCAGCCGCAUACUCUCCAGUUGGCCUCCUUGUUGGCUGAAGCUGAAGUAGUGCUCUUUGGAUUUUGGAAUGAUGAAGUAGAGCUGGAUCUCUUCUCCAAGCAAUAGAUAUCCACCUCCAUCAGCCUAAUCAGCAUCCGAGAGAGAAUACCCAGGAAGUGCAGAUACGCUCCUGUCUUACCCACCUGAUCAUGAAAAAAUACAAAGGGAAAUAAUCUGCUUGCCCAUGCAACAGACAUGUGUGGCAGGAAUGAAGUACAUCGUGGCAGCCCGCUGCCAUCACUGGCUGUGAUGAUGUCAUGGAGGGCACGAGGAAGGAGCAAAGAGGGAGGACGACUGACUCCUCGAGUCCAGGAGCAGCUCAGAUGAGGAGAGGAGGCUUGUGGGGACAAGGAGCCAGAGGAUGUGGAUUUGGAGUGUUGGCGACGAGACUGAGGAGGGGGCGGUCGUUGAGGUUGACUUUGGACUAUUUGCAGCUGAGGGGAUGUUUGCGUGUAAAGUUGAGAAUUUGACUGAGAUAAAGGCUGAAUUUGAAUCUGGGGCUGUAGCUGUGUCUGUGAGAUCGGCUGGCUCUGGGAAUAACUUUGAACUUGAGUUUGGGUUUGGUGGUGUGGUGCUUGUUGAGGAUAUUGAAAAGACUGAGAGGACGGCUGCGGCUGAAGUUGAGCCUGUGAUUGUGAUGGAGAUUGCAUGCUGUCCAUGGUCCCUUUCUGCACAUUUGGUGAGGUGGUGGUUUGAGCAGGGAAGGGAUCUAGCGCUCCACUUUCUGGGCAUGACUGCAACGGUUGGCUGGAUGACAGCAGAGACUCUCCUACAAAUAGCAGGAGGAAGAAAGGAGCAAAGUUUUUUUUUUAUUAAACUACCAAUCAUAUCAGCUAAAAUAUCUCUUCAAAUAAUAAAAAUAUUAUUUCUUUGUCUAUGUA